rnacentral:rRNA from 1 species
UGGGGAAUAUUGCACAAUGGGCGCAAGCCUGAUGCAGCCAUGCCGCGUGUAUGAAGAAGGCCUUCGGGUUGUAAAGUACUUUCAGCGGGGAGGAAGGCAGUAAAGUUAAUACCUUUGCUCAUUGACGUUACCCGCAUAAGAAGCACCGGCUAACUCCGUGCCAGCAGCCGCGGUAAUACGGAGGGUGCAAGCGUUAAUCGGAAUUACUGGGCGUAAAGCGCACGCAGGCGGUUUGUUAAGUCAGAUGUGAAAUCCCCGGGCUCAACCUGGGAACUGCACCUGAUACUGGCAAGCUUGAGUAUGGUAGAGGGGGGUAGAAUUCCAGGUGUAGCAGUGAAAUGCGUAGAGAUCUGGAGGAAUACCGGUGGCGAAGGCGGCCCCCUGGACGAAGACUGACGCUCAGGUGCGAAAGCGUGGGGAGCAAACAGG